GAUGAAGAACGUAGCGAAAUGCGAUACGUAAUGUGAAUUGCAAAUUCAGUGAAUCAUCGAGUCUUUGAACGCACAUUGCGCCCCCUGGUAUUCCGGGGGGCAUGCCUGUCCGAGCGUCAUUGCUGCCCUCAAGCACGGCUUGUGUGUUGGGCCCCGUCCCCUCCCCCGGGGACGGGCCCGAAAGGCAGCGGCGGCACCGCGUCCGAUCCUCGAGCGUAUGGGGCUUUGUCACCCGCUCUGUAGGCCCGGCCGGCGCCAGCCGACACCCAACUUUUAUUUCUAAGGUUGACCUCGGAUCAGGUAGGGAUACCCGCUGAACUUAAGCAUAUCAAUAAGCGGAGGA
rnacentral:misc_RNA from 1 species